UGGAUGUGACAGAGGAGCAGAGCGACUGGCUAGCUUCUGUCCGACUGAUUUUCUUUUCUUCAUUUGCGUCUAUCAGGGUUCACGUACCCAGCGGACGGUGCCAUGAUGCAGCCACUCUGUCCGUCGCAGGAGCAACCCCCGCCAUCGUGACCCAUGCCAAGAUUGUGUCCCAUCUCGUGGGCCAACACUGUAGAGAACCCAG